rnacentral:rRNA from 1 species
AUGACGAACGCUGGCGGCGUGCUUAACACAUGCAAGUCGAACGGAAAGGCCCUGCUUUUGUGGGGUGCUCGAGUGGCGAACGGGUGAGUAACACGUGAGUAACCUGCCCUUGACUUUGGGAUAACUUCAGGAAACUGGGGCUAAUACCGGAUAGGAGCUCCUGCUGCAUGGUGGGGGUUGGAAAGUUUCGGCGGUUGGGGAUGGACUCGCGGCUUAUCAGCUUGUUGGUGGGGUAGUGGCUUACCAAGGCUUUGACGGGUAGCCGGCCUGAGAGGGUGACCGGCCACAUUGGGACUGAGAUACGGCCCAGACUCCUACGGGAGGCAGCAGUGGGGAAUAUUGCACAAUGGGCGGAAGCCUGAUGCAGCAACGCCGCGUGCGGGAUGACGGCCUUCGGGUUGUAAACCGCUUUCGCCUGUGACGAAGCGUGAGUGACGGUAAUGGGUAAAGAAGCACCGGCUAACUACGUGCCAGCAGCCGCGGUGAUACGUAGGGUGCGAGCGUUGUCCGGAUUUAUUGGGCGUAAAGGGCUCGUAGGUGGUUGAUCGCGUCGGAAGUGUAAUCUUGGGGCUUAACCCUGAGCGUGCUUUCGAUACGGGUUGACUUGAGGAAGGUAGGGGAGAAUGGAAUUCCUGGUGGAGCGGUGGAAUGCGCAGAUAUCAGGAGGAACACCAGUGGCGAAGGCGGUUCUCUGGGCCUUUCCUGACGCUGAGGAGCGAAAGCGUGGGGAGCGAACAGGCUUAGAUACCCUGGUAGUCCACGCUGUAAACGGUGGGUACUAGGUGUGGGGUCCAUUCCACGGGUUCCGUGCCGUAGCUAACGCUUUAAGUACCCCGCCUGGGGAGUACGGCCGCAAGGCUAAAACUCAAAGGAAUUGACGGGGCCCCGCACAAGCGGCGGAGCAUGCGGAUUAAUUCGAUGCAACGCGUAGAACCUUACCUGGGUUUGACAUGGAUCGGGAGUGCUCAGAGAUGGGUGUGCCUCUUUUGGGGUCGGUUCACAGGUGGUGCAUGCCUGUCGUCAGCUCGUGUCGUGAGAUGUUGGGUUAAGUCCCGCAACGAGCGCAACCCUUGUUCACUGUUGCCAGCACGUUAUGGUGGGGACUCAGUGGAGACCGCCGGGGUCAACUCGGAGGAAGGUGGGGAUGACGUCAAGUCCUCAUGCCCCUUAUGUCCAGGGCUUCACGCAUGCUACAAUGGCUGGUACAGAGAGUGGCGAGCCUGUGAGGGUGAGCGAAUCUCGGAAAGCCGGUCUCAGUUCGGAUUGGGGUCUGCAACUCGACCUCAUGAAGUCGGAGUCGCUAGUAAUCGCAGAUCAGCAACGCUGCGGUGAAUACGUUCCCGGGGCUUGUACACACCGCCCGUCAAGUCAUGAAAGUUGGUAACACCCGAAGCCGGUGGCCUAACCGUUGUGGGGGAGCCGUCGAAGGUG